AUUAAAAAAAGAAAACAAGUAACGAAUAAAUUGCAGCCGAGUUUUUGGUUCGCUUGCUCAUCUUCUGCUCAUUAAAAAAAACUUUCGUAACGUCUGCUUCUUAAGAGAUCGAGCCAGGUGAACAGAACAAGUUUGUAAAUUGCAAUUUAACUUGCAGAAUAAACAAAUAGUUUCAAAACUUGUGACCGAAGGCUAAAAGUAGAAAAGUUGUAAUAUAAAAUGGGAAUAUGCGGAAUAAUUGCUAUGAGCAUCGUGUGCGCAGUAUGCUGUACUUGGUUUUUGUGGGUGUGGUCAAACGAAUUAAAAAGAAAAUAUAAGAACGAAAAUUAAGUCUUAAAAGAAUGCAAGAAAUUGUAGUUAAAAUAUAAUCAAA